UCCCUGGUAGUCCAGUGGUUAGGACUCCAUGCUUCCACUGCAGGAGGCAGGGGUUCAAUCCCCAGCCAAGGAA
rnacentral:tRNA from 1 species